AUAAUUUUUAACAUUCCCAGUAAAUUCAGUUGGUUUUUUUUUCAAAAACACGCUUGGAAUAGAUUUUUUUUUUAAUCUAGACAUCUGUUUCUAUUCCCUUUCCCAAUUCAUUUUCAUAAAAGAUCAAAGAUCUCUUCAAGUCUAAGUAUGAUGUAUUUGAACAUAAAAAUAAAAAUAAAAGUAAGUUGUUAAAGAGACUCAAACAACAAUAAUCACUGCUUAUCAUCAAGCACAAACAUAGUCUUCUUCAUCAUCGUUAUCAAAUUCAAUUCGAUCACUUACAAAUGUGACCCUUCUCCUCGGGUACUUCCCUUAUUGUGUUUGGAAAGUCAAAAAAUGAAAGAAAUCAACUCAAUUUAAU
rnacentral:misc_RNA from 1 species